GGUCUGAUUUAAAUGAGAUUGGGGUUCAAUUUGCCACAUGGGUACAUUUCUGGUGUCCCCAGCAGUGUAGAAUCCUACACACUCACUCACUCUGUCAGAAGCAGGUGUAUCACCUUGUGGGGGCCGAGGUCUUACAGCAGAUACAUUACAGAUUUGCAAUUGUGACCUCAAAAUAUGGGUACAAUAUGUGAAGCCCAUUUUUACUGUCUUUCCAGUUUUAUUCUGACUUGGUUGAUGCUUGUCAUCGUAUCUCAUGAUGAUCAAUGCUCAUGAUGUCAAUCACUGGAUUGUCUCGUGCAGACUCGAUUAUUGACAGACCGCCGUCAUAUUGCUGGAAUAUUGCUUAGUGUGGCGUUGCACAACAAACAAACAACUCACAUGUUUCUCUCUCAUUGGAACAAGGAUGUGGACUCAUUAGCUGGUUAGAAAUAGCAUUGCAGCUGUAUCUUCACAAGUAAAAGAGAAAGAUGAGGCACACACACCUGUGAAGUACUGACGAUGCUGUUCUUGUGGUGUGAGUGUCUAGCUGUUGUCGAUAGAGGGGUUUGUGUAUAUUAUAUAACAACAUGGCUGUGACAGAAGGAGCGUUGUAUUUAUGUAGAGCUAGAGCUGAGAGAGUGCUUCUUCUCUUAGUUGGUAUCGUUUUAGAAGUGACUUCUGAAUGUUAGACAGCACUCACUGGGUUGUACAUUUGAAUAUACCGUAUUUGACGUAAUAAGCGCCCAGGGUGCUCUCAAAAUUGGUGAACAAAAACAGAGUUGAAAGAUAAAUUUCAUGGUUUAUGCUGCCUGAAAAGACAGAUAUAUUUUUCCUGAUUUUAAUUGCCCAUGAUUAAAGGUGCUUAUAACACAAGUGCGUAUUAUAUGCGAAUAAAUAAGUCUUGUGUACAUUGAUCAAUCGGAGGGGGUGCCAAAUUGGAUUGUUCACUAGCCAAAAUAAUAGCAAAUAUCGCCGUGGGCACUUAUUAGAGCGGGGCGCUUAUUACGUCGAAUACGGUGCUCUUUGUUUCUUAGUUACCAUUGUAUGUACAGGAUAUUGUGCUAAGUUAUGUCACAGUUUGUCAUAGUAGCUGAGUAGGACUCUCUUCAAUGCCAACGACUGUUCUCGUGCAGCCUUUGAAAUUCACUCUGGUCCACUAGCCCCAGACUACAAACUAAUGGGAUGUCCUCAGAUCUUUGUUAAGUGGUAGUGAGAACUGAGAUCUGGUUUUAAUGAGAUUGAGCCCUAGUACAGUUGUCUAGUGAUAAAAGACUGUGUGAUGUGAAACAAGUCCUUCCCUACAUUAUAUGUCUCAUUGAUCAAUGAUUGACCAAAUUAAGGGUCCAGCCAUUAAAUAUCCUGGGAAGGGGAGGGGAGGUGCCAAACAUUUCUGUUUGAGAUGGAAAAUAUUUCAGCUUGAGCUUAAUGACUUACAAAGGAGUAUGACAGUUAAGUGCGGUAAACAAUAUUCUUUGUUAUUAAACCUGAGGACAGAGUUUUGUUGGGAGACUUUUUUUGUUUUUUAGAAUCCACGGAACCCCACCCUUGAAUUUAAAGUCACCAGUCCCUUAUUGUUUGUGUUUAUUGAUGAUGCCAGAAAAAUUAUGUGGUGGUUUUUUGUUCAUUACAUGUGAAGAACUCGAUGUCCCGAUACCUCCCUUGGCAGUGAGCCAGCCAUUGGGCGCCAUCAUGUUACUGUACAUCCUUUGAAACUGUCUUGGACUUACACUUGUGUAAAGACUCCUCCAGAUGAGAUACUGUAGCAGGGGUUUAUCCGGGAUUCCAAACGAAGUGCCCUGGCAAGCAAAUUGCAACAAAACUGUGAUAUUGUUCAAAAUUUGAUUGUUCAUAUUUUCGUGAAAUCUGACCAAUUGGGAAAUAUAUUAAUUCAAAUUUAGAAUUUUUACUAUAAUUUGCUGCCGACUUGGGGCCGAAUAUCGGGCUCUGAGCAAUUCUAGAUAAAUCCCUGGGUAUUCAUUUUGAGAGCCCUCCUACAAUCAGGAGGGUCUGGUAUGUAGGACAAGACAUCUUGUAGCACAGCAUCUCCGUCUCUUUAGAUAUAUUGAUAUAAAUGUGCUUAAUGAAUCAGUCAACAAUCUUUCAUGAUCAAUUUUAUUCUAAUUAUGAUCAUUAUGUUUAUCAUUGUGUUUUGAGACACUUUUGUCAUAGUUUUAUUCUUUCUUGUGACUUGGAUGAUUCUAAAACAUUCUCUAGCAAUCACAGGCUCUUAAGAGAUGUCCAGUAGGUAGGUGGCUUUGGUGAGUAAGACACAGAUUGUGGUUUCAUUGUAAUAACUAUAACUUAGACCUCAGGAUCUCAUGGCAACAUGACUAAAUAGGGCUGGAUACAUCACUGUAUUUGAAUCCGUCUGCCAUCUCUCAGGACAUGGCAACAUGACUAAAUAGGGCUGGAUACAUCACUACACUUGAAUCUGUCUGCCAUCUCUCACAUCAUCAUCACACACCCUCACUGAAUCACACCAUCACACGACCUGUAACAUCAGGUCUCAGUAGAGCAGAACACUUCACACAUCGCACAUCAUCACACACACUCACAGUGAAUCACACCAUCACACGACCUGUAACAUCAGGUCUCAGUAGAGCAGAACACUUCACACAUCGCACAUCAUCACACACCCUCACUGAAUCACACCAUCACACGACCUGUAACAUCAGGUCUCAGUAGAGCAGAACACUUCACACAUCGCACAUCAUCACACACACUCACAGUGAAUCACACCAUCACACGACCUGUAACAUCAGGUCUCAGUAGGGCAGAACACUUCAUCAGUUGACCAUCUCACACUCACAGUGAAUCACGCCAUCUCACGACCUGUAACAUCAGGUCUCAGUAGAGCAGAACACUUCAUCAGUUGACCGUCUAACACUCACAGUGAAUCACGCCAUCUCACGACCUGUAACAUCAGGUCUCAGUAGAGCAGAACACUUCAUCAGUUGACCGUCUAACACUCACAGUGAAUCACGCCAUCUCACGACCUGUAACAUCAGGUCUCAGUAGAGCAGAACACUUCAUCAGUUGACCGUCCCACACUCACAGUGAAUCACGCCAUCA